rnacentral:rRNA from 1 species
GAUGAACGCUAGCGGCAGGCCUAAUACAUGCAAGUCGAGGGGUAUGGGUUGCUUGCAACCCAGAGACCGGCGCACGGGUGCGUAACGCGUAUGCAAUCUACCUUAAUCAGGGGGAUAGCCCGGAGAAAUCCGGAUUAACACCGCAUAACAUUGAGUUGUGGCAUCACAGUUCAAUCAAAUAUUUAUAGGAUUAAGAUGAGCAUGCGUGACAUUAGUUAGUUGGUGAGGUAACGGCUCACCAAGGCCACGAUGUCUAGGGGAUCUGAGAGGAUGACCCCCCACACUGGGACUGAGACACGGACCAGACUCCUACGGGAGGCAGCAGUAAGGAAUAUUGGUCAAUGGGCGCAAGCCUGAACCAGCCAUGCCGCGUGCAGGAAGACGGCCCUAUGGGUUGUAAACUGCUUUUGUACCGGAAUAAACCUUCUCUUGCGAGAGAAGCUGAACGUACGGUAAGAAUAAGGAUCGGCUAACUCCGUG